UACGUAGGGGGGCGAGCGUUGUCCGGAUUUAUUGGGCGUAAAGAGCUCGUAGGCGGUUCGGUAAGUCGGAUGUGAAAUCUCCACGCUCAACGUGGAGGGGCCAUUCGAUACUGCCGUGACUCGAGUCCGGUAGGGGAGUGUGGAAUUCCCGGUGUAGCGGUGAAAUGCGCAGAGAUCGGGAGGAACACCCGUAGCGAAGGCGGCACUCUGGGCCGGUACUGACGCUGAGACGCGAAAGCGUGGGGAGCGAACAGG
rnacentral:rRNA from 1 species